AUUGAACGCUGGCGGCGUGCCUAAUACAUGCAAGUCGAACGGAGUGGCGCACGGGUGAGUAAUGUAUAGCUAAUCUGCCCUGCACUAGAGGACAACAGUUGGAAACGGCUGCUAAUACUCUAUAGUGUAGGAUGAGGCUAUAUUGUAUGAGCUAGUUGGUGAGGUAAUGGCUCACAAAGGCUAUGACGCAUAACUGGUCUGAGAGGAUGAUCAGUCACACUGGAACGGAGACACGGUCCAGACUCCUACGAGAGGGAGCAGUAGGGAAUAUUGCCCAAUGGGGGUAAGCCUGAAGCAGCAACGCAGCGUGGAGGAUGACACUUUGCGGAGCGUAAACUCCUUUUGUUACGGAAGCGGUACCUAACGAAUAAGCACCGGCUAACUCCGUGCCAGCAGCCGCGGUAAUAC
rnacentral:rRNA from 1 species